AUUGAACGCUGGCGGCAUGCCUAACACAUGCAAGUCGAACGGCAGCACGGGUGCUUGCACCUGGUGGCGAGUGGCGAACGGGUGAGUAAUACAUCGGAACGUACCUUAUCGUGGGGGAUAACGCAGCGAAAGCUGUGCUAAUACCGCAUACGCCCUGAGGGGGAAAGCGGGGGAUCGCAAGACCUCGCGCGAUUAGAGCGGCCGAUGCCUGAUUAGCUUGUUGGUGGGGUAAAAGCCCACCAAGGCGACGAUCAGUAGCUGGUCUGAGAGGACGAUCAGCCACACGGGGACUGAGACACGGCCCAGACUCCUACGGGAGGCAGCAGUGGGGAAUUUUGGACAAUGGGGGCAACCCUGAUCCAGCAAUGCCGCGUGAGUGAAGAAGGCCUUCGGGUUGUAAAGCUCUUUUGUCAGGGAAGAAACACCGGCUCUAACACAGUCCGGGAAUGACGGUACCUGAAGAAUAAGCACCGGCUAACUACGUGCCAGCAGCCGCGGUAA
rnacentral:rRNA from 1 species